rnacentral:rRNA from 1 species
UACGUAGGGUGCGAGCGUUAAUCGGAAUUACUGGGCGUAAAGCGUGCGCAGGCGGUUUUGUAAGCCAGAUGUGAAAUCCCCGGGCUUAACCUGGGAAUGGCAUUUGGGACUGCAAGGCUGGAGUGCGGCAGAGGAGACUGGAAUUCCUGGUGUAGCAGUGAAAUGCGUAGAUAUCAGGAGGAACACCGGUGGCGAAGGCGGCCCUCUGGACGGUGACUGACGCUGAGACGCGAAAGCGUGGGGAGCAAACAGG